rnacentral:rRNA from 1 species
UACGUAGGGUGCGAGCGUUGUCCGGAAUUACUGGGCGGAAAGAGCUCGUAGGUGGUUUGUCGCGUUGUUCGUGAAAACUCACAGCUCAACUGUGGGCGUGCGGGCGAUACGGGCAGACUGGAGUACUGCAGGGGAGACUGGAAUUCCUGGUGUAGCGGUGGAAUGCGCAGAUAUCAGGAGGAACACCGGUGGCGAAGGCGGGUCUCUGGGCAGUAACUGACGCUGAGGAGCGAAAGCGUGGGGAGCGAACAGG